rnacentral:lncRNA from 1 species
AGAGAGUUGACUCACGGACUGUUGAAGUCGGCUCGUCUACUGUUCAUCUAAGAGAUGUUUCUGUCUUUCUCUGAGAGAGUCGACUCACGGACUGUUGGAGUCGGUUCGUCUACUAUUCAUCUAAAAUUGUUCUUUUGUCUUUAUCUGUGGGAGUCAACUCAAGAACUGCGGGAAUCGACUUAUGAACUAUUCUUCUGAAAUUGUAUUU